GUGAUUUGACAGAACACAGUGAGACCGCAUAGAAAGGAGGAGGAAGAGAACAAAACGGAUGAACUGAUGCUCCACGGGAAUAAAGAAUGCAAUGUCAUGAUUUAACGACAACUUUCCCAGCAUUGAGCACCAAGAUCACAGUGAGGUUAAAAUCCAUUUGGUGAAUUGUGAACAUCAGAACAUCAGCUGAUGUUGAUGAACUUCAUCAAUCCCAAAGUUCUUUAGUGACGAUGAUGUUCAGGGCAAUGGGACAAAUCCUGGUGAAAAUUGUAGCAGAAAUCAGGACUCUCAGGACUCUUCUUCUCCUGCUGUGCUGUAGGUUUACUGUGUGAAGCUGGAGACGAGACGGUCACACUGCAGGAAGUGGAAGGAACCACUAUAACUCUCCAUACUGGGAUAACUGGGAUUCAGAGGGAUGCGCAGAUUCUGUGGAUUUAUCGACCUGAGAAAGCAGAGGAAAAUAUAUUGAUUAGUGACCUGUUUAAAGGAGAAACUGUUACAGACUUCAGAGAGAGAUUUAAAGAGCGACUGCAGCUGGACAGAAUCAGUGGAGCUUUAACCAUCAGGAACAUCAGCAGAACUGAUUCUGGAGUUUAUUUAUUAAAAGCCAUCACUGGACGUGUCUCAUCUAGGACUUUCAGUGUCAGUGUUUAUGCUCCAGUAUCAACUCCAGUAAUAAUAAAUGAAAGAGGAAAGCGAAGUGUGAUUUCCACAGAGUCGUGUUUCCUCCUGUGUUCUGUGGAGAAUGGAGAAGAUGUGAAGUUAUCCUGGUACAGAGAGAAUGAGAGAAUCUCCAUCACCAAUAACACAGAUCUCAGUGUUCCCCUCAAUCUCCCACUUCAAAUACAACACAAUGACACUAACACUUACAUCUGUGUGUCUGCAAACCCUGUCAGCAAUAAAACAACUUCUCUCAUCAUCACACAGCUCUGUGACGUCUCAGAUGAUCGUCCACCUUUACUGCUUGCUGCUCUGAUAUCUGUUGGACUUUUUGUGUUAUUAAUUAUAAUAUUAAUAAUUUUGGGGAUUCGGCUGAAAAA